GACGAACGCUGGCGGCGUGCUUAACACAUGCAAGUCGAACGGAAAGGCCCUGCCUUUGUGGGGUGCUCGAGUGGCGAACGGGUGAGUAACACGUGAGUAACCUGCCCUUGACUUUGGGAUAACUUCAGGAAACUGGGGCUAAUACCGGAUAGGAGCUCCUGCUGCAUGGUGGGGGUUGGAAAGUUUCGGCGGUUGGGGAUGGACUCGCGGCUUAUCAGCUUGUUGGUGGGGUAGUGGCUUACCAAGGCUUUGACGGGUAGCCGGCCUGAGAGGGUGACCGGCAACAUUGGGACUGAGAUACGGCCCAGACUCCUACGGGAGGCAGCAGUGGGGAAUAUUGCACAAUGGGCGGAAGCCUGAUGCAGCAACGCCGCGUGCGGGAUGACGGCCUUCGGGUUGUAAACCGCUUUCGCCUGUGACGAAGCGUGAGUGACGGUAAUGGGUAAAGAAGCACCGGCUAACUACGUG
rnacentral:rRNA from 1 species